rnacentral:misc_RNA from 1 species
GAAAUGCGAUAAGUAAUGUGAAUUGCAGAAUUCCGUGAAUCAUCGAAUCUUUGAACGCACAUUACGCCCUCUGGCAUUCCGGGGGGGAUGCCUGUCCGAGCGUCAUUACGCACCCUCAAGCCCGGCUUGUGUGAUGGGCCCCGGCGUCUCGUUCGCGAGACGGGCCCGAAAGGCAGCGGCGGCGUCGACCCGAUGAGCCCGAGCGUAUGGGGACUUCUGUCACACGUUCGCGGUGCGGACCGGCGCCUGCUUGACUUUUCUGAUUAUCCAGGUUGACCUCGGAUCAGGUAGGGAUACCCGCUGAACUUAAGC